rnacentral:misc_RNA from 1 species
CCACGCCAUGCGCGAUCAGCGCGUCGGUGAUCGCGCCGGUGCCGGGGCCGAGCUCAAUGACGGGACCGGUGGAAUGCGGGUCGACGUAACGCGCCAUCGUGCGCGCCAGCGCCUUGCUGGAAGGCAUNNNNNNNNNNUGCAGCGGCUUUUCAAUCCAUGAGCGGAGAAAACGGACUUCGUCAUCGAGACGAAGCGGCUUUUUCAACGCGCGCGCAGUGGAUUGGGGAGCCAUGAUAC